GGGAGCUGCCAGGAAAUCAGAAGACUGUCCAGUUGGAGUGGUGUGGCGUGUGUGCCAGGCUGGGUUCCCACCCUGCCGUGUCCUCUUUCCAGGACCUGCUGUGUGGCUAAGCUGGGACACUCAGCAACGUGACCCAAAGAAGGACUGACGGGACUCUUCUGCUGAGCACAUGGCACUCACAGGAGAGCCAGGCUGGCAUCAGCUCUGUGUUCAGUGACAUCAGCCUGGUGGCUUGAAAUGGCCAUGGUGGGAAUAUUUACACCAUGGCAACUGGCAUUUGCUACAAAUCAGGACACCUUUCUUUCCACAGAGCUGAUGGCUAAGCAUUUAUCAACACAUCACUGCCAGUAGCCUGGUAUUUGCGUUCCAAAGAGGAGUUGAAAAUAGCCCUUCUACACAGUUCUCCAGGAAAACUGGCUGGAACUCAAUUUGUGGAACAGUCCUCUCUGUGGGAAGCUGAGCCAGGGCAUGACUCAUCCCAUGCAUCCAGGUCUGUCUGGCGAGAUGCAGCCGGGGACACCACCUCUGCGACCCUCCACAGGCCACAGGAAACCUGGACAACAGCCUCUGCCAACCUGUGAAGUGCCUGUUUCCUCAAAGCUCCGCGCUCCGGGGCAGCGGUCCACCUUCCAUCCCUGGAGAGCCAAAUGCCUUCACAGAAGAAUGUCUCCCUAUAUGGCUGUGGUUUUUCUACACUCAGGCAGGUUCCCAAAUUAGGUGCUGGGGCAGCAACUCUCUUUUAUUCACCAAGGGAAGGGCGUCUCCAGAAAGGGCGAAAAUAUCCUGGGAUGGAACCGGGAAAAGGGAAAACGGUGUUGGUGAGACCUCUGGGGCUAGUCAUUAGGGCGGUGACAUGAUGUCUACUGCUGUGGACCCGAAGCCCCUUAAUCAGAUCGGCGGGCGGGCCUGGAGGGCCAUGACGUGUGCCAGAAGAGUGGCUUGGCAUCGCUGCAGUGGUUUUGUUCUUCCACGAAGAGCUCCUAGAAUCAUUUCUUCU